GACGAACGCUGGCGGCGUGCUUAACACAUGCAAGUCGAACGGAAAGGCCUGCUUUCCCUUGUGGAUUGCGGGUACUCGAGUGGCGAACGGGUGAGUAACACGUGAGUGAUCUGCCCCCAACUUGGGUAUAAGCCUGGGAAACUGGGUCUAAUUCCCGAUAGGACUGCAGGGUGGUGCCUGUGGUGGAAAACGAUUUUCUAGUGGUUGGGGAUGAGCUCGCGGCCUAUCAGCUUGUUGGUGGGGUAAUGGCCUACCAAGGCGGCGACGGGUAGCCGGCCUGAGAGGGUGGACGGCCACAUUGGGACUGAGAUACGGCCCAGACGCCUACGGGAGGCAGCAGUGGGGAAUAGUGCACAAUGGGCGGAAGCCUGAUGCAGCGACGCCGCGUGGGGGAUGACGGCCUUCGGGUUGUAAACUCCUUUCGACCGCGAGGAAGCCACCUGGUUGGAAGGGUGGUGACGGUAGUGGUAGAAGAAGCACCGGCUAACUACGUG
rnacentral:rRNA from 1 species